GUGCCAGCCGCCGCGGUAAUACCGGCAGCCCGAAUGAUGGCCGAUCUUAUUGGGCCUAAAGCGUCCGUAGAUGGGUCUGAAAGUCCAUCGGGAAAUCCACUCGCUCAACGAGUGGCCGUCCGGAGGAAACUCCACACCUUGGGACCGGAAGGCUCGAAGGGUACGUGCGGGGUAGGAGUGAAAUCCCAUAAUCCCGCACGGACCACCGAUGGCGAAAGCACUUCGAGAAAACGGAUCCGACAGUGAGGGACGAAAGCUCGGGUCUCAAACCGGAUUAGAAACCCCUGUAGUCC
rnacentral:rRNA from 1 species